rnacentral:sRNA from 1 species
GAGUCAUUCAAGGACAAGCUACUGGCGCUAUGGCUUUUGACAAGAAGAUAGCUGAAUUACACAACAAGAUUGUUUGUUCUU